CUCCGCGGGAAGGGCAGGCCCCGGAGGCAGCGAGCGCCCCGGGGGUGGCCGGGCAGCCGGAUGCUCCCGGGGUUGCGGGCUGUGGCCCCGGGGGCUGAGGGCGGCGCGGGUGCGGCGGAAGCAGGGAAGCCGCGAACCGGCCUUCUGGCUGGCCACAGCGCCCUGCACGGACGAUCAGUGAAUGGAGAUUACUCAAGUAUUUAUCGAGAACUUGCAGUGGGCUAGGCACAGUUCAGUUGAACCUUCGUCUUGUGAGGAACAGAAAGAUCAAGAACUCUGAAGCACCUCGACUUUCCACCUGUGAAGAUGUGUUCAAAUUUGCAACGUGCGGCCACACCUAUGAGGUCACUCCCUCUGGAGGAAACCAGCUGCCACUUUGUGAGGAUACUCAUAGUCCUGUGGAGGCAUAUCCUCCAUAUGGCUGAGACCUCCUGCGAACAACCAUCACUGACUUGCCAGACAUGAGUGUGCCACCUUGGAAGCAGAUUUUCCAGCCCCAGUUAAGCCUUCAGAUGACAUCAGCCCCUGCUAAUCUCUUGACUACAACCUCAUGAGAGACCCUGAGCCAGAACUAGCCAGUGCUCCCUGGGAAGCACUGAUCUUGGAUUUGGCUGCUGUGUGGGAGACCAGUGUUCCUCUUAGCUGAUGGUGGAGACUCACGUCAGUGCAGGCUGCAGCGAUGACUCUCAAACUGUGAACAAUGCUCCCCAGUGUGUGCACGGGAGGGCCAGCAUAUGGAGACCUCGCGGAGAGCCAAACGCGGGCUCUCUGCACUUCCUUCAGUUUUGUUUAAAUACAGGAUCCGGUUUGCCUUUGUCACCCGCUGUAGCACCACCAGGCUUCAUUCACUGUGAAGCCUUGCCAGAUCUCUGUAAUAAAUUACCUGGGAGGCCAAGGCGGGAAAAGAGGAAAGAACAAGACUGACCAUCAAGGCUGGACAUCCCUUUCAGUUCUUUUGAGAACAGACUAGUUGGCUAGAUGUGAAGAAAACAAGCUUUGGAGUAAUCUUCCCUCUGCACAGCCUGUGAUAUUGGGAUCCAGUGAGUGACGGUGAGAGGUGGAGAUGUAUGAACGAGACCUGAGACGUUGGACCUGAACAUCACAGCAAUCACUUGCAGGGCUAAGAUUCAGGGCCAGCUGUCCAUGGAUUCUCCCGAGUUGGAUCGUCUUUCACACACCUGCUUCCUGAGGUUACAUCUCUUUUCCAGCCUAGGAGCAACCAAUAAAGAGCAGAGAGCAAAGAAAAGCAGACACACAAAUCAUCUCUAGACUAUGUCAAGGGUAUCCCCAAAAUGGGAAAGAAAUUCAUGAAUGUACACACAAAAUGUCACGUAUUUUUGUUUUACAUUAAAAACACUGUGUCCCAGAAGUAAGGAGUAGAAUGGUGGUUGCCAGGAGCUGAGGGGUUGGGGACAUGGAGAUGCUGGUCAAAGGGUACAAAAUUUCAAUAUGCAGAAUGAAUGAGUUCUGGAGAGCUAAUGUACAGCAUGGUGACCAUAGGUAAUCAUGUGGUAUUAUAUUGUGACAUUUGCUGAGAGUAGGUUUCAAAUGGUCUCACCACAAAAAGGAAAAUGGUAACCAUGUGAGGUGAUGUUUAUGCUAAUUAGCUUGAUUGUGGUAAUCAUUUCACAACAUGUAUGUAUAUCAAAACAUCUCAUUGUACACCUAAAUAUAUACAAUUUGAUUUGUCAAUUGUACAUCAAUAAAGCUGGAAAAAUGUAUUCAAUCCUAUAUAAUAGAUUGGGAAAUUACAUAGCCAUAUCUGAUUAUGAAUUCAGCAAAGCUUUUAAAUAUGUUUUUAUUUUACUAUUCACAAGAGCACCUUGGUGCAUUUGAAAUUAAAUCCUUCAAUGUGGAGAAAACAAAACACUGUCUCACUGAGCACAAAGCUUGUUCAAUAUUUUUGUCAGCGCGAUGUAUUUUUGUUAGCAAUGUUGACCACUGAAAUGAUUUCCUUAGCAGAUAAUUUUCCAGUAAACCUCCCACAUCAUUGCAAACUUCCUGUUCCCAGCUGCUCUUCCUCUUCUUAAGCCCCUCAUUAUAGGCAGUAGGAGAGCUGAUAAUCAGCAGAAAAUUAAGCUGGCAGGGUGUGUGCUUAAAGGCGUCAAUUUCCAAGGGAAGGAAGUGUUCAUUUUGUUUUGUUUUAUUUUGUUUUUAUGAAGCAUUGCUUUUUACUUGUGUUGUGCCUUUUGAACUUAAGCAUUAUUUUUUGACAAUGGAGACUUUUGGUUUAGUGCAGUUCUCUGUAACUGGACAGUACUCAAUAGAAAUUGUUGAAUUGAAUGUUUAACAUAUGCUUCUCUUUGACCAAAUAAGGAAUAUUUUAUGGGCCAUUUUUCAUUUUAGAUGAGCUUAUAGGAAUAGGCACUCUUUGGAAAUUGGAGAAAUUAAUUCUUAGGGAGUGUAGUCCAAGUUUAAUUCUGGGUCUUUGAGUGAUACUUUUAAAACAAGUGCCUUUGACCCUUGAUUAAGUACAAAAUAAGCACAUAGCUAAUGUAAACCUCUUAAAUCAGUGGUUAUCAGGCUUGGCUGCACAGUGGAAUAACCUCAAGUGGGAUGUGUGGGAGAAUUAAAAAAAAAUACUGCUGCCCGGGUCUCAGACUCAGAAAUCCUUAUGUAAUUGGUCUAAUCUACAGCCUGUCUUCAGGGUUUUUAAAAGCUUCCCAGGAGAUGCUAAUGGAUAGCCAAAGCUGACAACCAUUGUCUUUAAUGAAUGAACACAUUUAAUCAGCCUGUACUAAGUACUAGGCACUGACGCUAGGCACCUGUUUCUGUUAUCUUUUAUUAAUGUGGAAAUUGGCACUCAUAGAAGUUGAUUUGUUUACCAUCACAGAGCAGAAAACUGUUGAAGAUGGAAAGCAAACAACAACAACAAAACCUAACAGUCCUAUGGCCUCCCCACAUUCUUUGCCAUUUACAUCAUAGUAGUUAAAAAAUAUGCUGGUGACUGCAAAAGCCAAUGUAUCAACCUUUAAAAUGAAGAAAUAAUGAAAUGAAAACUAACUUUGUUGAAGAUUAGGACAGUCCUUGGGAUGGUAUG
ensembl:lncRNA TRAM2-AS1 TRAM2 antisense RNA 1 (head to head)